UACGUAGGUGGCAAGCGUUGUCCGGAUUUACUGGGCGUAAAGAGCGCGCAGGCGGUCGGAUAAGUCGAAUGUGAAAGCCCCGGCUCAACUGGGGAGGGUCAUUCGAUACUGUUCGACUCGAAGGCAGGAGAGGGAAGUGGAAUUCCCGGUGUAGUGGUGAAAUGCGAUAGAUAUCGGGAGGAACACCAGUGGCGAAGGCGACUUCCUGGCCUGUUCUUGACGCUGAGGCGGCGAAAAGCUAGGGGAGCAAACGGGG
rnacentral:rRNA from 1 species